rnacentral:rRNA from 1 species
UACGUAGGGGGCGAGCGUUGUCCGGAUUCAUUGGGCGUAAAGAGCUCGUAGGCGGCUUGGCAAGUCGGGGGUGAAAACUCCAGGCUCAACCUGGAGACGCCACCCGAUACUGCCAUGGCUUGAGUCCGGUAGGGGACCACGGAAUUCCUGGUGUAGCGGUGAAAUGCGCAGAUAUCAGGAGGAACACCGGUGGCGAAGGCGGUGGUCUGGGCCGGUACUGACGCUGAGGAGCGAAAGCGUGGGGAGCGAACAGG